rnacentral:rRNA from 1 species
UACGGAGGGUGCAAGCGUUAAUCGGAAUUACUGGGCGUAAAGCGUGCGCAGGCGGUUCGGAAAGACAGGUGUGAAAUCCCAGGGCUUAACCUUGGAACUGCACUUUUAACUACCGGGCUAGAGUACGUCAGAGGGGGGUAGAAUUCCACGUGUAGCAGUGAAAUGCGUAGAGAUGUGGAGGAAUACCGAUGGCGAAGGCAGCCCCCUGGGAUGAUACUGACGCUCAUGCACGAAAGCGUGGGGAGCAAACAGG